rnacentral:piRNA from 1 species
GCCCGUGUCUUCGUGUGAGCUGC